GGCAAAUCUAGGUGAGUAGAGACAAUGUUCUAUGUGAGGGUGAAAGUGGUGCUAUUUAGAAGUAGGAAUGGUAUUAACAAUGGAACAAACAAACUCUAGGAGCCGAUCUGGGUGAGUAAAGACAGUGUUCUCUGUGAGGGUAGAAGUGGUGCUAUUUGGAAGUAGGAAUGGUAUUAACAAUGGAACAAACAAACUCUAGGAGCCGACCUGGGUGAGUAGAGACAAUAUUCUCUGUGAUGCACG
rnacentral:lncRNA from 1 species